ensembl:lncRNA
AUGCCAGCUGAGAUCUUUUGGCAUGGCACCCAGUGUGCCCAUCACCACCCGGACCACCUGCACUGGUUUCUGCCAGAAUCUUUGAAGUUCAAUCUUGAGGUCCUGAUAGCGGCUGAGUUUUUCCUGUUGUUUUUCAUCAAUGCGACUGUCACCUGGGAUGGCAACAUCAAUGAUCCAAACCUUUUUCUUUUCCACAACUGUGAUGUCUGGUGUGUUGUGUUCCAGAACUUUGUCAGUCUGGAUUCGGAAGUCCCACAGUAUCUUUGCGUGCUCAUUUUCCAAUACUUUUGCAGGUUUGUGAUCCCACCAGUUCUUUACUGCUGGCAGGUGGUACUUGAGGCAGUAUUGGAGAAUGAGCACGCAAAUAUACUGUGGGACUUCCAAAUCCAGACUGACAAAGUUCUGGAACACAACACACCAGACAUCACAGUUGUGGAAAAGAAAAAGGUUUGGAUCAUUGAUGUCGCCAUCCCAGGUUUUCAUGUCGCAUUGACGAAAAACAACAGGAAAAACUCAGCUGCUAUCAGGACCUCAAGAUUGAACUUCAAAGACUCUGGCAGAAACCAGUGCAGGUGGUCCCGGUGCUGAUGGGCACACUGGGUGCCGUCCCAAAAGAUCUCAGCCGGCAUUUGGAAACAAUAGACAUUGACAAAAUUACAAUCUGCCAACUGCAAAAGGCCACCCUACUGGGAUCUGCACACAUCAUCCGAAAAUACAUCACACAGUCCUAGACACUUGGGAAGUGUUCAACUUGUGAUUUUGUGAUAAGAAAUCCAGCAUAUCUAUCUUGUUUGCUGUGUCAUAAUAAAAUAGUUUUAUUUCUUACCCGCCUUUCCUUGUGGCUCAAGGGGUCUUACAACAUUGCUAAAACACAUAAUCCUCUAAAAUCAUUCUAUAAAAUACACAUAUUAAAAUACACAGAACAAAGAUUAAACAUAAGACGCAAGUUAAAACUGGCUGGAUCUUAUUAAAACAGUGGCAUCACAAGAGAGGUGUGGGAGGUGCAGACCACACUUGGGGUUGAUACUGAAAUUACUGUCUAUAAAAUGUGCGUGGAGUGUUUCAGCCAAAAUAACUUUCUGUAUAAAUAUCCCUAUAAUUAGAUACAGCCAUGAAAACAUUUUUCGCCAGCUGAGCUUGCAUAUACCAUAUCAAUAUAACCACAGGGCUAAAACGCUAUGCUAAUUAACUUUUUGAUCCUUCUAAUAAUGCAUAUGUGUUUUGGUCAGAGCUGUCAUUACUGCCCAAUUAUAAUUACUCUUUGAAUUGUCUUGUUUCAUCUACACAAGCUACAAGCACAUAUUGUUAUUUUCAUUUUUUUUAUUUACUAGCUUGGGUAACCGACAAUGCCCGGGUUAUUUGAAAAGGGCCUUGUUUGUUUUUGGAUGUUAGGUGUUCUCAGUUUGGUCAUAUAUUAUGCUAUUUCUAAGUUUGGUCCAGAUCCAUCAUUAGUGGGGUUCAGAGGGUUUAUGGAAUACAGGUGAACUAUAACUCCCAGAGUUAAAGGUCAAUUACCCUCAAAGUCUACCAGUGUUCCCAGUUGGCCAUGUUGAAUGUGUGUGCCAAGUGUGGUCCAGAUCUCUCAUCUGCUGGAUUCAGUAUUCUCUGAAUACAGGUGAACUAUAACUCCUGGAUGGCAAGGUGAAUCAUCCCCAAACCCCACCAGUGGAAACAGUGUGGGCAGGGAAUGGGAGAAGUUUGCCUCAGACACAUUUAACAACAGAAAUCCUAAAGACAUUUUAGGUUGGUGGCAGCUGCCAUUUUAAAAGAAAAUCUGUUAUAAUUAGCCUCCCCUGCCUCAAUUCUUUUAUACUCCAGAACACUGGGAACUAUGGCCUGUUUGUGGAGGCUGUAAGCUGUCUGUGUGAGCAGACACCCAUGCCACAUACACACAUACAGAUUUUCAUUUUUAUCAUAUGAGUACAUUUACCAUAUUUAUACCCCACCCUUCUCACCUCGAAGGGGACCCAGAGCAGCUUACAAACUACAGUAAAGUCUCACUUAUCCAACAUAAACGGGCCGGCAGAAUGUUGGAUAAGCGAAUAUGUUGGAUAAUAAGGAGACAUGAAGGAAAAGCCUAUUAAACAUCAAAUUAGGUUAUGAUUUUACAAAUUAAGCACCAAAACAUCAUGUUAGACAACAAAUUUGGCAGAAAAAGUAGUUCAAUAUGCAGUAAUGCUAUGUAGUAAUUACUGUAUUUAUGAAUUUAGCACCAAAAUAUCACGAUAUAUUGAAAACAUUGACUACAAAAAUGCGUUGGAUAAUCCAGAACGUUGGAUAAGCGAGUGUUGGAUAAGUGAGACUCUACUGUACUACAAAAUUCAUUGCCACAUCAUGCACAUAACCAAAAACAUAACAUAAUUAAAUUAUUUUCAUUCUUGCUUCUUAAAUAGCUGCUGAUUUUUGUCAGAUUAUCUUCUAUUUUCGCUACAAUCUUGUAGUAUGGUUUAGUUUGGCAGGAAGUCUGUGGAAGUAUCUGCCUGAAUCAUUGCACCGGGUGACACCAAUCCUAAUGAUUUCACCGAUAAAACAGAAGGCUUCGAUACUUCUCUUCCCAUAAGCCAUGACCCUAUAAACUUGGUCUUGAAACUUUUAAAUACAGUCAGGAAUAAUAAAAACCCACAAAUGCAGAUGCAACUAUGAGAAUGCAAACCGACCACGUAAAAUGACACCAACUUUCAUAGCCAGUGAAAUUUAUAAGAAAUGAAACGGGAAAAACCGAGCAACAUUUCAUCCAUGCUCAAGAAGCGGAACACCUUAAACUGCUGUUCAAAUGCAUCUCCUAAUUCAUCUCACUCAAAAGAACAUUUUCAUAAGUCAUCUUUAAUUUUCUGUGACUUUACUCAAGUAGCCCUUCCUUCUGGAUCCUACCAUCAAUCAUCAUGUAUCGUCUUUGGCCGCUGCUGGCUUUCCACAGUUAUAUACCAUGGUUUCUAAGAGGUUUAUUUUCCACCAAGGACAAAUAGUCAUUUGCACUCACCCUGUUCAGUUCCAGCGAUAAAGCAUACAUUGCUCAAAUUUUGCCACCUGAAAAUUUUCACAUAGGCAAAGAGAUGAAGAUGAGAAAUUGAAAGUACUUGUAUAUUUGCUGGGGCUGAAAAAAUUUUCUAGGAGCACAUUCACAACACCACACCUUACACAGAAAAUGUGUAUUUGGUCUUGAGCAGAUGCAUCAGGGGCCAUUGUAUCCAAGGCUGGCCAGGUUAUUUUGGAACGUCAAAACACCUAUUCGAGGGAGAAACCCCCCUCUACCUAAUAGCAAAGACACGAGCCUUUAAGUAAACUGUAUUAAAAUAACUGAAAACUUUAUUAACUGAGUUGGAUCAAGACCAGAAACAGACUAGUAAUCUUUGGAUUUCUUACAAUAAGAGUCACAUGUUCCAAAAACCCAUCUUCAGUCAAAAUAUUAUCUAUGAACUCUGGAAAUACCAUGUUUCCCUGAAAAUAAGACAUACUCAUAAAAUAAGCCGUAGCAGGAUUUCGAAGCAUUUGCGUAAUAUAAGCCAUACCCUGAAAAUAAGACAGAGUGAUAGGCGUGGCUAAGUAAAGCUGUGGCUG